CUGCCCCUGCCUGUGUUAUUGUAUCCAUUUUCCAACGCCAACGAUGUGUGAAAUGAAAAUUGGACAGAGCUGGCUGCUCACAGCGCCGGAGCCCGGCGUGCCGGGGGGCAGCGGGGAGGGGGCGCAGGGGAUGGGGGCCCUCGCUGUCCCCCCCUCAGCCACUGCCCCCUUACCAGGGCCGUCUGCGCACGUCAUACAGGUCGAUCUUAUUGGGUGCUCUCCAUGGGGUGGCUGUGGGGAAAGGCAAGCGAUGAGCAAAGGGGGACCCGGGGACAGGGGACCGGGGGCAGGGGGUGCCCGUGUCACACACCAGGGUAGUAGCGGGUGACGCCGGUGGCGCUGCCGAAGACCUGCCAGAGCAGGGAGGGGUCUUCCUUGCGGUUCUCAAUGAAGACGUCCUCCAGCGCCUGCGUCCAGUUCAGCUCGUUGAGGAUCACGGUGGCUCCUUUGUAGAUGUCAGUGGGGAUCUGCACGGCAGCAUAUGAGUAGUUAACCUUGGUCUUGAAGUUGGCAUCGUCGGUGAACUCCAGCUUAAGGGAGUUGGAUUUCUCCCGCUCGAUUUCUUCCCCAUCGGGAUCAUCCUGGGGAGGGAGUGGGGUCAGUGGGACGUGCCCUGGGUACCUCUG
rnacentral:lncRNA from 1 species